UUCCCGCUCACUCGCUCCCUCCCUCCCAAUAUUUGGAUUUCCCAGUUCCCACACCAGAGAUUAACUUCCCUCUCCUUCUCCCUGACCUAAUCGGACAGAGAUUAACUUCCCUCUCCUUCUCCCUGACCUAAUCGGACGACGUCACCCAAUGAGUGGCUACUGUUCUUGGCAGCAUCGAUGAAGGGGAUUCUAGAGCAGAAAAGACAUUUCUGCUUCACUUUUGCUACUUCAUGAUGUACAGAAAUAUCUUGGUUACUAAUAACAUGCCCACCAAGUGUUUGAUGAUUUGCUUACCACUAGGGACGUGAUUUGCUCGUUUCUAACCCUAAACCACUGAUAGUCCAUGAAUUUUUAUUCUGAUUUGCAAAUUGCUACUCAAAAUUUGGUUGUGGAAGGUUGUGGGUUUCUUUUCUAUUUGCAAAUAGCCACAUUGUUAAAGCACUAAGUUUUUGCAGUACUGGUGUGCUGAUUUUGUUCCCAACAGCAAAUAUCUUUGUGUAGAUGAUCAUCAUCAAAAUCAGAGCACGUAUUGUUUUGUUGGACAACCUGGUCCGUGAAUAGAUUUUAGUGUAGAACUUGUAUCAGGGGCUCAGGGCUGGAAUACAGGUCAGUUAUUCUUGUAUAUUCUUUCAGGCAGUGUUCCAGUGUGAGUAUUUCAUUUCUUGGAGGGUGCAUUUUAUUAGUGUAUUAUUCUUGGCUCUAAAAAAUCCUUAUAGGGCUGGGGGGCUGGUUAACCCGUGAACAAACCGGUUAACCCAACAAUGGGAACCUACACCAUUGGAAUAUAACUUGUCAAACAGACGGAGCUCACCGAAAUGAAGUGGUCAGCAACGGAACAAGACUUGUUGCUUUCUAGAGAGAAGAUGGCUGGAAACGAAGUGGUUGGAACUUGGUGAGUAAUGGGGGAGAAUUGUAAGAAGUAUGGUGUUCCAUUCUGCGGUGCUUCUUUCAUAGCACAUAAUGCCCUCAAAUCAUCUGGCACAUAUGCCAAGAAAGAAGACGAAGAUUCUGGUAACCGACCAAAUUAUGUGAUUUUUGCGGCUGGCAGUGGUGAAGGUCGAAGUGGCAUCCCAAAUGCUUUAGUCAUCUCACUUAUCGAUUCGGCCUCUAAUUCCCUUUCUGAUCAGGAUGGUUCUCUACAUGUAGUUGGUGACUUGGUGAGUACAUGAUGGUACAUUGAGGGUGUUCAAGUGGCCUACCAUGGCAUUAGUCCUUGAUGCGCCUAAGGCUCAUACAUCUGUGAAAAAAAUUAGGUUUCAGUCCUGACGGGAAAUAUCGUGUGUCGGUUGGAAGUGGCCCUGGUACGGUUUGGGAUAUCUCAUCGUCAAUAGCUAAAGCUUCUUUAUCAAAAGAAAAUGAUGAAGUUUUUGAAUUUUGCAAAUUUUCACUUAAUGGAGAGAGUGAUCCCUUUCUCUAUGUCACUGCAAUGCGAGGUUGAAUAUAGUGAAUUGGUUGAUGCGGCGACAAUAAGGAGCAAGUGCAAGGAACAACUAUGAAGUGUGAAAUACGAUCGCUAAGAAAGAGUUAACACAAUGAAUAUUUUACUCACAUGAAGAAUGUGAAAGAGAUUCAUGAGCGCCAUGGAGUUUUGAGUUUUUGUUCAAACAUUUUUUAAAUAUUUGUUUUUUAUGUUCGAUAUUUAGACUAAGGUUGACACUUAUUAGUUAUUUCUUUGCAAACAUUUGGAAUCUUUGGAAGAUGAUUGAUUGAAUUUUUUAAUUGAAUUGAUUAUAUUAUUAUGA